AUUAAAUUGGCAGAUUUUUAUGCAGUUGAUUUAGGGUCAAAAGAAGAGAGUAGUAUUCUCAUUUAAUU
rnacentral:tRNA from 1 species